rnacentral:lncRNA from 1 species
CUACUGAUCAUCGCCGCCGAUCACCUUCCUUUGUCACACCAAACCAUCAUCAUCCUCCCUUUCAUCACCAUUCCUCGCUUCAUUUCCCUUGAACAAGCUGCCAAUUCGAUCAAUCCCCAUCGUCGAACUCAGCUUGCUGAAGAAGCAUCAAAGUCGAAAUCGAGCUUGGGUUCUUGUUUUUCGCCGAUCGCCACUCGCUCGAAAUCAGCUCGUGACACAGCUCCAGCCCUUACUAAAUUCUUCACCUAGAGUUCUGCUCCCACAGUUCCCUAUAUCCAUAGUUCCACGCCCACAGUUCCCUCUAAGGAACUCCUAGAACUGAGUUGAUUGCAAUCAUAUGCCGACCGGUUCCGCUCCCACAGUUCCAUCCACUGAAGAUUUGAAGCCAUCACCGAGGAGAAAAUCAAGAAGUCCGAAUCAAAGAUGGAAAAUUCCACUACUCUCCAACAGUCCCCGUCGGUUUGCGACGAUCUGCAGGUUGUCAAUUGCUCAGACCCGACGGUUUUAUCACCUUUUCGAGGAUUUUGUAGGAAAUAUAUAUUUUAAUAUUUCAUUUUAUUUCCUUAUUUUCAAUUGAAUGCUUGUUUUCGUGAUUGUGUUUCGGUAUUUAAGUUUGCCACAUGAGACUAGUGUUUGAUUUUUCGUUAAAAUAGACGGAAAACUUAUGCUUUUAAAAUAGUUUGGAUUAGAUUUGUUAACUUUUAAAGGAUGGAAUAUUAAAACUUUUUGAAC